AUAAUGUUCUUGGGAGUUAAGUUCUUAUAAGUAUCUACAACUUCCAAAAACACCACAAUAUCAAAACAAAAAGUGUUCUGUAGAAUUCUAACUUCUUCGUCAUUCCCGCCACCGCCGCCGCAUAACAAUUUGCCGAUGUCUCAGUUCAAGCAGAAUUGGGGUUAUCGGGUGAACGAGGGCUCGCCAUACUCGUACCAAUUCAUCCCUCCUCCUCCACUGUCGAGACAUCCAUAUCUGCCGCCGCCUCCGCCGGAUUCCUUGUAUCCACAGCCUCCUCCUCCUCCACCUUCUCCGACACCGUACCCACCUCCACCUUCUCCUCCUCCUCCUUCGUCUUUUACUCAACCGUCUCAGCCACUGUUCUCUCCGCUAGUAAAUCGGUAUCCACCUUCGUCCCCUCCUCCACCUUCUGAGCCCCGAUUCCGUCUGCUUCCUCCUCCUUCGUGUCCUCACCCACCUUCUCAGACUGUUCGAUUUAAACAAACAGCUCCAUUGCCAGGUGAAAAUUCCAACGAGACUAGGGAAGAGAGGAGGUUGAGGAAGAAGAAGGAAUUCGAAAAAGUGAGACAGAAACAGAGAAUAAGGGAAGCACAGAACAGAAUUGUGGAGAAAACGAAGUUGAUAUUUUUUGGUAGGAAGGGGCAUGGGUCAAUUAGAUCAGACAGAAAUAUUGCCCCUUUGCCAAGUGGUGGCAUGACAGGCAACCUGUUGAAGAAGCAGCAGCUGAAGUAAGACGUUAAUUCUGUAUUUAUUGUCAGCCAUAUUAAUAUGUUCCAAUUGUUCUAUCUAUUGUCUGUUCCACUGGAGAUUUAAGUUUUCAAGCAUGCUAGUUGGUCCAGAAGCUUUAGCAGCAGAAAUAAGUCAAGAGAACUUGGAGAAGGGAUUAAUAUACCCACCAUUUGCCAACAUAAGGAAGAUUUCAGCUCACAUUGCAGCCAAAGCAUAUGAACUUGGCUUGGCCACUCGUCUACCUCAACCGGAGAACCUAGUAGCAUAUGCAGAGAGUUGCAUGUACAGUCCAAGUUAUCGUAGCUAUCGCUAAGUCAAGGAAGAUACAUAAGUACUCAUUUUUCAUAGCUUUGAAGAUUAUUAUACUAAUGGAGAUGAUGUUUUCAACAACCACUAAUUUAGGAGGAAUAUAUAGACAAUUUUUAGUUUUGUAUUGGCACAUUAGCAUCUUUUGUGUAAUUCUGCCAUUGGGUCAGCACAGGGCACUGGCAUUGGACUCGUAAAGUUAUAUUUCGAGUAUAAAAAAAAUCAUGUUGAAC